UAGGGAAUCUUCCGCAAUGGGCGAAAGCCUGACGGAGCAACGCCGCGUGAGUGAUGAAGGUCUUCGGAUCGUAAAACUCUGUUAUUAGGGAAGAACAAAUGUGUAAGUAACUAUGCACGUCUUGACGGUACCUAAUCAGAAAGCCACGGCUAACUACGUGCCAGCAGCCGCGGUAAUACGUAGGUGGCAAGCGUUAUCCGGAAUGAUUGGGCGUAAAGCGCGCGUAGGCGGUUUUUUAAGUCUGAUGUGAAAGCCCACGGCUCAACCGUGGAGGGUCAUUGGAAACUGGAAAACUUGAGUGCAGAAGAGGAAAGUGGAAUUCCAUGUGUAGCGGUGAAAUGCGCAGAGAUAUGGAGGAACACCAGUGGCGAAGGCGACUUUCUGGUCUGUAACUGACGCUGAGGUGCGAAAGCGUGGGGAUCAAACAGG
rnacentral:rRNA from 1 species